CUUGUUGGCAAACCAGAAAAUUCGUUCUACUCGAUCUUACAUUUUUUUUUUUCUCAUUUCCUCUUUCUGGGAAAAUCAUAAGGAAAAUCCUAGAAAAUUCUAUUGGCCUGCAUCGACCAUCGUCUCUCUAAUACGUUGGUUUAUGCAGGCUGUCUGCUAAUUUUAUUUCCAUUUCUUCAUAAUUCGCAUUUCCUUUUUGCAUUUUGCAAAUUCUCCCAUUUACUGUUCAAAUCCGGGGAAGAUUUUGAAUUAUAUAUACUGAUAGA
rnacentral:misc_RNA from 1 species